rnacentral:rRNA from 1 species
UACGGGGGGGGCAAGCGUUGUUCGGAAUUACUGGGCGUAAAGGGUUCGUAGGUGGCCAACUAAGUCAGACGUGAAAUCCCUCAGCUUAACUGGGGAACUGCGUGUGAGACUGGCAGGCUCGAGGGCAGGAGAGGAACGCGGAAUUCCAGGUGUAGCGGUGAAAUGCGUAGAUAUCUGGAGGAACACCGGUGGCGAAGGCGGCGUUCUGGACUGUCUCUGACACUGAAGAACGAAAGCCAGGGGAGCAAACGGG